CAGCCGCCGCGGUAAUACGUAGGUCCCGAGCGUUGUCCGGAUUUAUUGGGCGUAAAGCGAGCGCAGGCGGUUAGAUAAGUCUGAAGUUAAAGGCUGUGGUUUAACCAUAGUACGCUUUGGAAACUGUUUAACUUGAGUGCAGAAGGGGAGAGUGGAAUUCCAUGUGUAGCGGUGAAAUGCGUAGAUAUAUGGAGGAACACCGGUGGCGAAAGCGGCUCUCUGGUCUGUAACUGACGCUGAGGCUCGAAAGCGUGGGGAGCAAACAGGAUUAGAUACCCCCGUAGUCCCUGUCUCUUAUACA
rnacentral:rRNA from 1 species